AACGAACGCUGGCGGCAGGCUUAACACAUGCAAGUCGAACGCCCCGCAAGGGGAGUGGCAGACGGGUGAGUAACGCGUGGGAACAUACCCUUUCCUGCGGAAUAGCUCUGGGAAACUGGAAUUAAUACCGCAUACGCCCUACGGGGGAAAGAUUUAUCGGGGAAGGAUUGGCCCGCGUUGGAUUAGCUAGUUGGUGGGGUAAAGGCCUACCAAGGUGACGAUCCAUAGCUGGUCUGAGAGGAUGAUCAGCCACAUUGGGACUGAGACACGGCCCAAACUCCUACGGGAGGCAGCAGUGGGGAAUAUUGGACAAUGGGCGCAAGCCUGAUCCAGCCAUGCCGCGUGAGUGAUGAAGGCCUUAGGGUUGUAAAGCUCUUUCACCGAUGAAGAUAGUGACGGUAGUCGGAGAAGAAGCCCCGGCUAACUUCGUGCCAGCAGCCGCCGCGGUAA
rnacentral:rRNA from 1 species